rnacentral:lncRNA from 1 species
ACUAUUCUACUCUUCUCCGGUUCAUCAACCCUGCUGCUCUGGUUCUCCUUGCUUCGAUUCUAGUCUGGCGACGCUUGAUUGGUUACGUCAUGCGUGUGCUGCGUUCGCGAGGUCGGAGUGUCAGGACCUGAGUUGCAGUAAAGUUCAGUUUCAGCAUUCGGUUCAGUUAACGCGUCACCAACGGCCAGGAUCGCUCCUCUGCUUAGCAGCGUCACGGGCCAUUAGAUCCUUACUGUAUCGUUUCUAGUAGUUACUAUUCCACUUCACCGUCUUGCCGGUAAAAGUUUCCCUUAUAUAACAGCCAGGGUGUGGCUGGUCAAGCAUUCUAUUCUCUCUGGAUUGCCUGAUGGCUUCACAUAUACGCUAGCUCGUUUACAUACAUUCAAUAAAGUAGAUCUGAGAGACUCAUUCCUCUCCGUUUAUACAAUCCCCUUUGCGAUUUCUCUCUAGAUCAUGGCUAGUUCCUGACAAAGUGGUAAUCAGAGCUAGAGAUCCUCGGCGGCAGCGCAAUUCCGAGGGCAAUUUUCUCCGAUGGGCGAUUCCCACCCUUCUUCGUGAUCGGCGGCGGAGUUCAGUGGGUGGCGUUGGCGGCGGGGUGGUGGUGAUCGGCGACGGUGUGGAGGUGUUGGUGGCGGUGAAAUUUGGGCGCAGGUCUGUCGAGCGGAAUCGGUUGCUCGGGCACACUGCUUGACCAGUAAAAUCCCGAGUUCCUGCACAGUCUGUGCGCUACGGUGGCGUGGAUCAUGGCGGCGGCAGGAUCAGAGGGACGGGAAGGGUUGCUGGAGUUCCAGUGUUAAAAUUCCUCACCCAAUCCUCUGAUCGAAGGAGAUGGGGCAUGCAAAGGCAAUUGACGAGGCGGAUCUGCAAGAGAUCAUGGCACUGCGUGAUGAUUUUGGCGCUCUGCAGCAGGAUAAUGUUCAGAUGCGGUCCGAGAUGUCAAAAUUACAGGGGGAGGUGCUGUCCAUGAGUGCUAAACAAGGAGAAAUCUCCAAGCAGGUUGGAGGGGUUAUGGACCUCAACAAACAACUGUCUACCAUCAGUUCAGUGCUGCAAUCGCUAGUAAAAACCACAAUAACACUUACUCAGAGUGAAAUGCCCUCCACCUCUCGUCAAGUUCCCAAGUCCCCAACGCUGCAGCAAGAAAACAUUCAGGAUCAGCUGACCAGAAUAGAAUAGCUGCGGAAGCAAUUGGAUCUUGAAAGAGAAAAAUCAAAACAGAUGGAAGAUCAAUUGCAAAAUCUGCCCCCAAUAAGAACUAGCAGAACACAAGCACCUCCAGGGUUUGCAAACGCAAUCAGGACAGAUUUUAGCCAAAAUGUCAGUACACCAUUAACUGCAAGAGAUCGUGUGCCCACUCCAGCCUUCAACAAAUUUUAUCAACAGAAUAGAGAGAGGCAAAUGUGGCAGGGUUAUCACAAAACCUAUGAACAAGAGAUGCAAGCUCAGUUCAUGAGAUCAUUAACAAAAGGACCAAAACUGGACUUUCCAAGGUUUUCGGGCGAUGAUCCAGUGGGGUGGAUUAGGCAAUGCAACAAGUACUUUCAAAUGUCAGCAGCUCCUGAAGAGUACAAGGUGUCCCUAGCACAAAUGUAUGUGGUGGAUGAAGCUGAUGUGUGGCUUAGACGUUCUGGGUUACUGAAGAAACAAUUAUCCUGGAAGCAGUUUGGAGCUGAAGUGAUAAAAAGGUUUUCUGACACAGGAUCCUAUGACUUAACUGAAAAAUUCAACUCAGUUAAAUAGCUGAACAGCUCAGUGUCAGAAUACACUAAGUUUUUUGAAGAUCUCAUGGCUGAUGUCCAGGAAGAAACCUGAGCUAGGGGAACAGUGGUUUGUCAGGUGUUAUGUUAAUGGAUUAAGAGAUGGGAUAAAAUUUCAACUCAGGCCUCUCAGGCCUCAAACACUUACAGAUGCUUAUUGUUUGGCUAGAGAUAUUGAACCUUGCCACCCUCCCAUAAGUGUAGCACCAAAGAAGCAAGGAGUCCCAUACAACAAUGUUUACCAGAAGUCUAGCUGGCAUUCCCAAGCAAAGCAGAGCACCCCUUUGCAACAGCAGUCACUACCUGUCAGACAAGUAGAAGCCCCUGUUACUAACACUCAAAAAGUGAGAAAAGUGGGGGAAUGCUGGCGAUGUGGGGACAGGUGGGUGCAUGGACACAAGUGCAGACUAAUACCAAAUGUCCAUAUGUUGCAACAGGAGGAGGGGAGCAGCAACAAGAAGAAAUAGAGGAAGGAACACAACAUGAACAAAUGGAAACUAAUGAACAAGAAGAGCAAGUCAUGUUUCUCUCUGCUCAUGCUAUGGGCCAACAAUUGGCAGUGCCCACACCAACAAUCAUUAUACACAUCAAUGGCAAACGAGCAGUUGCUCUUCUGGAUUCGGGCAGUACAACUUCCUUUAUAAAUCCACAAUUUGCAGCUAAAGCUAAUUGCAACAUAUUGCCAGUGAAACCAAGAGCCAUUGCUGUAGCAGGUGGUGCAAAGUUAAUAUCUGCAUCUGUAGUUCCAAAGUGUGAGUUCAUAGUUGCUAAAACAAAGAUGUCACACAACUUCAGAACUCUAGACCUGCCUACCCAUGAUGUAAUCUUGGGGUAUGACUGGUUUACAACAGUUAGUCCUGUGGCUUUUGACAUUCCCCAGCAACAAUUCAGUUUCACACAACAGAGGCAACAGUCAAUAUCUACAGCUAUCUUCACAAACCCUCAAACCACUAAGGAAGUUCAAGCAGAGGAUGUGAAGAAGCUCAUGGGUAAAGGAGCAGAGGUAUUCUUAUUGCAAGUGCACAAUAUACUUAUGGAAGCUCCAGAAGGAACCAAAACUCCUCCACAAAUACAAUAACUGCUCUUGAAAUAUGCUGAUUUGUUUGAGGAGCCCACUGAACUUCCACCUCAUAGGGCACUGGAUCACAAAAUUCCUUUGAUUCCAGGGGCAAAUCCUCCACAACUGAGACCUUACAGAGUUCCACAACAUCAAAAGAAAGAAAUGGAAGAGCAAAUAAAAAAGUUAUUGGCUAAACACUUGAUCAGGCACAGCCAAAGUCCUUAUGCUGCUCCAAUCCUGCUGGUUAAGAAGAAGGAUAGCUCUAUGAGGUUAUGCACUAAUUUCAGAAAACUAAAUUCCCUGACAGUCAAGAAUAAAAUUCCCUAUACUAGUAAUAGAGGAUUUAUUGGAUGAAUUGCAUGGAGCAAAGUAUUUCUCUAAGUUGGAUUUGAGAUCUGGUUAUCACCAGAUAAGAAUGCACCCAGAUGAUAUACACAAGACUGCCUUCAGGACCUUUUGGGGGCAUUUUGAGUACUUAGUCAUGCCUUUUGGGCUGUCUAAUGCUCCUGGCACAUUCCAAGAACUGAUGAAUACAAUAUUUGCUCCCUAUUUGAGAAAGUUUGUGUUGAUGUUUUUUGAUGAUAUCCUCAUCUACAGCAAAGACCUCAAAGAGCACCUGGAACAUGUCCAAAUGGUUUUACAAGUGUUGAAGGACCAUAAGUUGUUUGCAAACAUGUCCAAGUGCAGCUUUGUAGUGCAAAAAGUGGAGUAUCUAGGACAUGUGAUUUCUGAGAAGGGAGUAGCUACUGAUCCACAAAAGAUUGCAGCAAUUGCUGAUUGGCCAACUCCUAACACAGUCACAAAGUUGAGAAUCUUCUUGGGUUUGGCUGGGUAUUAUAGAAGGUUUAUUAAAGAUUAUGGCCUUAUUUGUAGGCCACUACAUGACCUUCUAAAGAAAGGACAGUUCCAAUGGACCCUAGUGCAGGACAAGGCCUUCUGUACACUGAAACAAGCAUUAACUACAACUCCAGUUCUGGCACUACCAAAUUUCAGUCAACCAUUUGUAUUGGAAACUGAUGCAUCAGGAAAGGGCACUGGGGAAGUUCUCAUGCAGGGAGGAAGACCCAUAUCUUAUUACAGCUCUGCUCUGUGUCCAAGAAAUGCAGCUCUCUCUACUUAUGAAAAAGAAGCUCUAGCUAUUUUGGAAGCAUUAAAGAGGUGGAGGCACUAUUUGCUGGGCAAUGAGCUGGUGCUCAAAACUGAUCAACAAUCCUUAAAGUUCAUCACAUAUCAGAAAAUAACAGAGGGAGUAUAACACAAGUUGAUGAUGAAACUCUUAGAAUUCAAUUUCACUAUCCAGUACAAGAAAGGAGUGCAAAACAAAGUUGCAGAUGCUUUGUCUAGACUAUUGCCAAGUUGUUUCACCCUAUCUGCUGUGACUCCUACAUGGGCAGAAGAUCUAGUGGAAAGUUAUAAGGAGGAUCCACAGUCUCAACAGUUACUGGAAAAGUUGUUAGUGCAAAAACAGGAUAAUUCUUCAGAUUACAGCCUACAUUCUGGGAUCAUGAGAUUCAAGGGCAAGCUAUGGGUUGGCAAGUCUGCAGAGUUAAGAAAGAAACUAAUGUAUGCUCUUCAUAAUUCUCCUAUUGGAGGCCACUCAGGAGUGAGAGCUACAUAUAACAGGGUGAAGAACAUCUUUUUCUGGCCAGGACUUAAACAAGAUGUAGAGGCUUUUAUUGCAGCUUGUCCUAUUUGUCAACGAGCAAAACAUGAGAAUUGCUUGCAACCUGGCCUGCUGGACCCCCUCCCUGUUGCAGACAUGGCUUAGCAACACAUAUCUCUGGACUUUGUGGAAGGCCUACCAAAAUCCAAGGGCAAGGAUGUUAUUAUGGUGGUGGUCGAUAGAUUCACGAAAUACAGUCAUUUCAUUCCCAUGUCCCACCCUUAUUCAGUUCUCUCCGUGGCUCAAAAGUUUGUGCACAACAUCAUAAGAUUGCAUGGUCCUCCUAAGCUCAUUAUCUCUGACAGAGAUAGAAUUUUUACCAGCAAACUGGGGAAAGACAUUUUUACUGCCCUCAAGGUGGAACUCAGAUUCAGCACGACCUACCAUCUUCAAACGGAUGGCCAGACAGAGCGGGUGAACCAGUGUUUGGAAACAUACCUGCGUUGUAUGACAACUGAUCAACCUACCAAGUGGAUGUCAUGGCUGUCUCUGGCAGAAUAUUGGUAUAAUUCCACUUAUCACACGGCUUUGAAAAUGUCUCCAUUUCAAGCCCUGUAUGGAUUUCCACCUCCACUCAUAUCUGAAUUAGCAAUUCCUGGACCAGAUGAUGAGGAAGCACAAGAUUUCUUGACAGCUAAACAGCAAAUGUUAGAGCAGUUGAAAGAGAAUUUGUGCAAGGCUCAGAACAGAAUGAAGCGUUAUGCAGAUCUCAGACGAGUGGAGAGAAGUUUCCAGGUGGGGGACAUGGUUUACUUGAAGAUGGCACCUUAUAGAUUGGCAGCAUUUGGCUUUCGAGGAGCUCUUAAGUUGCAGAACAAGUAUUAUGGCCCUUUUCUCAUAACACAAAAGAUAGGGAACUCUGCUUACAAAUUGCAAUUUCCUAGCAACGUUCAGAUAAACCCGGUCUUUCAUGUCAGCCAGCUCAAAAAACAUAUUGGACAAAAGGCGAUUCCGAGCCCCAAUCUUCCAAUGGUCAAUGCAGAUGGCACGAUCAAAACGGGCCCGGCCGCAGUUCUACAAGUCAGGCAAAUUCCACGCAACAAUGCACCAGUGGUUCAGUGGCAAAUCCAAUGGGAAAAUCUGUCACCGGACGACGCGACGUGGGAGGAUGCAGACUUCAUCAAGUACUCAUUCCUGGAGUUUUUCAGGCAAACUACUCAAGCUUGGCGCACAGCACAAGAAUCGACGUGAGGACUCGUCGAUGCUCAAGAAGGGGGCAAUGUCAGGACCUGAGUUGCAGUAAAGUCCAGUUUCAGCAUUCGGUUCAGUUAACGCGUCACCAACGGCCAGGAUCGCUCCUCUGCUUAGCAGCUACAUUGCUGCGUGUAACCGUCUACUCUACCGAUUGCCUUCGGAUUCUGUUGUGAUGCUCUGAUUGUCUUGAUUUGGUCAGAUUGUCGCUUGAUUUGUUGGUACGUUUAAAACAUGGGCGUUGGGUAAGCACAGAUGGCCUUCUAACUAGUAAAAACAAAUAGAUUUGCAUGAGAAGCACCUAAUGGGCCGCCUGUAUGACCUGGUUUCUGACUACAUUUGGUUGCGUCUGUCAGUUAUUUUGAGUAGUUACAGUGUGCUCUGCCUUCCAGAGUUUCAGUACAGUUUGCUCCAUGUAAGCUGGCAUAAAAAUAUAGUUAUGUACUUCUCUUGAAUGUUUUACUCACUAGACUUUCCUAUCUGAUACCUUUGUCAAAGGUUUUCUCAUACUCAAUCAAAAAUAUUUUUC